rnacentral:pre_miRNA from 1 species
AGUGGAAUUGCUGGAUCAUAUGAUAGCUCUAUGUUUAAGCUUUUGAGGAUUUUCCAGAAUGUUUUUCAUAGUGGCUGCACAAUUUUGUAUUCUCACUGGCAAU